rnacentral:lncRNA from 10 species
AUUCUCCUGCUUCAGCCUCCCGAGUAGCUGGGACUAUAGGCCCGGCCACCACAACCAGCUAAUUUUUUUUUUUUUUUUUUUUUUUUUUUUAGUAGAGACGGGGUUUCACCAUGUUAGUCAGGAUGGUCUCUAUCUCCUGACCUCGCGAUCCGCCCGCUUCGGCCUCCCAAAGUGCUGGGAUUACAGGUGUGAGCCACUGUGCCCGGCUGAAAGCCUGAUAUAUCUUUCUACCAUAGCAAGAACUAGCAGCACCUUACCCAGUAUGAGACCGACCCAGGUCUGCCUUAAUAUAUAUACCGUAAUAUAUACCUAACAGUUUUUUUUUUUUUUUUGAGAGGGAGUCUCGCUCUGUCGCCCAGGCUGGAGUGCAGUAUCGCGAUAUCGGUUCGCUGCAAGCUCCGCCUCCCGGGGUCACGUCAUUCUCCUGCCUCAGCUUCCGGAGCAGCUGGGACUGCUGGCGCCCGCCACUACGCUCGGCUAAUUUUUUUGUGUUUUUAGUAGAGACGGGCUUUCACCGUGUUGGCCUAGCGGUUCUCCAACUCCUGACCUCAUGAUCCCCCCGCCUCAGCCUCCCAAAGUGCUGGGAUUACAAGCGUGAGCCACCGCGACCCGCCAACACUCUUGACAACAGUGCUGUGCUAAGAACUUGGGGGACUUCAAAAAGUUCACCAGUUCCUGUGUCCAUGGGUGAAAAGAUUUUCUACAUCUUUCCUUGACUAGAAACAGAAGUCCUGAAACAAGAAUAUAACGUCAGGAGGCCAGAGGCUUUGUCCUGCCUAAUGUGUUAUUUCCACACUGAAUAAAAGCACCUGAGUCCUGAAUUCUCCAAACACCACCUCACACAGUUUUGGAAUCUCUUUGUCUUCAUUUCCCAGAAUUUGGAAGAGUUCAUCUAGUAUCUCUGCAUUUUAAAAAGGUUGUACAUCUAGCAAUACCUAACAAAAUAGGAAAUCAACUUGGAAAGCCAAUGGCUGUGUUUUGAGUUUAUGGAGAGCCAUAUGUGGCAAGGAACUGAGGGUGGCAUCCAGGCAACAGACUUCAAGAAACUGAGGCUGUCAGUCCAACAACCCACAAGAACUGAAUCUGACCAACAAUCACAGGAACAAACUUAGAAGUAUACUCUUUCCCAGACAAACCUUCAGAUGAGACCACAGCCCCAGCCAUAAGCUUGAAAACAAUCUCAUGAGGGACCUUGAGCCACAGGCAUGUAGUAAAGCUAUGCCAGGAAUCCUGCCUGCCCCACAGAAAAUGUAAAAAAAAUAAAUUUUUAUUGUUUUAAGCCACGAAGUUUUGAAGUAAUUUGAUAUAAAAC